rnacentral:rRNA from 1 species
GUCUGUGGCCAUACCUCCCUGAACGUGCCCGAUCUCAUCUGAUCUCAGAAGCUAAGCAAGAUUGGGCCUGGUUAGUACUUGGACAGGAGAUCACUUAGAGUUAUAAAGA